GUCCACGCCGUAAACGAUGUCUACUAGCCGUUGGGACUCUUGAAGUCUUAGUGGCGCAGCUAACGCACUAAGUAGACCGCCUGGGGAGUACGGCCGCAAGGUUAAAACUCAAAUGAAUUGACGGGGGCCCGCACAAGCGGUGGAGCAUGUGGUUUAAUUCGAUGCAACGCGAAAAACCUUACCAGGCCUUGACAUCCUGAGAACUUUCUAGAGAUAGAUUGGUGCCUUCGGGAACUCAGUGAC
rnacentral:rRNA from 1 species